rnacentral:sRNA from 1 species
UUAGAAGCAUUAUCUAAAAAGUCACAAGAAGAAAUUGAUCAUAUUGUUCAUCAAAUGAGCUUAGCAGCUGUUGAUCAACAUAUGGUGCUAGCAAAAUUAGCACAUGAAGAAACUGGAAGAGGUAUAUACGAAGAUAAAGCGAUUAAAAAUUUAUACGCUUCUGAAUAUAUAUGGAAUUCAAUAAAAGACAAUAAGACAGUAGGGAUUAUUGGUGAAGAUAAAGAAAAAGGAUUAACGUAUGUAGCGGAACCAAUUGGUGUUAUUUGUGGUGUUACGCCAACAACAAAUCCUACGUCGACAACUAUUUUUAAAGCGAUGAUUGCAAUUAAGACAGGAAAUCCAAUCAUUUUUGCAUUCCAUCCAAGUGCACAAGAAUCGUCGAAGCGUGCAGCAGAAGUUGUAUUAGAAGCGGCAAUG